ensembl:lncRNA
AGUUGGAUUGACAAUACAGCACCCUUAGGAGCACUGCUAGGGAACUGCUUGCAUGGAAUACUGGCAGGGUAUUCCCAUGGUGUAGCUUUAAUUCAUACCAGCAAAACUCUAAGUGUGUUUCUGCAGAAAGGAGAGUUUGAGGGUUUCUUCCCUCAUAUAAUAGCAUUUGCAGUGUGGUACUGAUGAGGAUCACACCUUUCUGAUUGCUGGCCAAGUUUUUAGUGUAGAUACAGCUAUAGUGCUUAGCCAUGAUAGAACUUGAACUGAAAACCUUAGUAUAUGUAAUAAAUACUAAAUUUUAAAAAAUCUGAAUGUGCAGCAGUACUAAUUAUUUGGCAACAGGAAAAUAAUUCCUUGUUUCUGCAAGCUCCAAGAAGUAAAGCACAGUAGCUGGAGGAAUGGGGGCAGUGGUCAGUUGAUUAACAUUGCCAUCAACUGUCUACAUGAAACCAUUCCAGCAUUCCAGCUACCUUGCUCAUCUUAGCAGACAAACAGGAACUGAUCCACAAACAUAAUGACAACAGUUCCUGAAACACUUAUCCUGGUAGUAAAUUGUAUUCCUGAACAGCAAGCUAUUGAUGAUGGUGUAAUUGUGUUGUAAGAAAAAUAGCUGUUUUAAGGAGAUUUAUCCAUGGGGAUAUUUGCUGGUCGCAAUUUUUAUGCCCCUCUACAGAUUUUUUUCAGUGGCAUAAAAAGCCAAAUGAAAAUUACUCAAUGAAGAACCUCUAUUUUAGACUACUUAUGACACCAGUCUAUAUAUUAAAAAUCAUGUUAAUGAUGAGAAAUGUGUUUUUAUAAGUGUUUAUUACUGAAUAUUACCUAAGAAGAAAAUAUUGUUUCAAUGUCCCAGGUAUUUGAUUUGUAUUACUCUGGCUUUUUGGUUCAUACUGCAGACUGUUGAAAUGAUGCUGUUAAAGCAGAUGACAUGUACUCCAGACAAGACUGUUUUCUUCCUGAACUGGUACUUAAAGGCUCUUAUUUAUUCUGCUCUUUUUGUAUACUCUAUAGAGGAUUUGGUACAAAAAAAAUAAUACCAACAAAACUGGAGUUACUACUGAAGAUUUUAUAUUGUGAACAUGUUUCUUUCCUUGUGUUAAUUUUAUCACACUAUAAACCUGACAAGAUACUACUUUUCCUCUGAAAAAAUACUAGAAAGGAUUCUAGUCUUAAUAUAAAAUAGAAAUUUAUGCUAACAAACCCAAAAUCUGUUGUCUGUGUAUAUAUACGUUUGAUUAAUCCAUAUCCUUUCAUUGGCUUUCCUUCCAAUGUAAAUUUUUCUACAUCUCCUGUCAGUUCCAUACACCCAAAAAAGUCCACCUACUUCUCAAUAAGAGUAACAAGAGACAGGACAGAUUAACUGCAGUGUGACAAAAAGGUACUUGAGGCAGUGUUCCUGUCAUUGUUAAGCCCCUAGAAGGGAUGUGAGGCAAAGCAUUACAGCAAGAAAGCUUGGCAGCUUUGUCCAGUCCUUUGGAACAGCCCUCUUGGUGCCUGUGAAUGACUUGCACCAAAGCCUCGUGUCUGAGUCAGGUUACAGCUGGAGGCUGACUCCAGCAUUGCACAGAAAACAGAGCUUGAACUCUGCUCUAGUGGGGAGAUUCUCUUCUGAGCUCUCUUGUAAAGCAUUUCUUAGUCCUGUCUUAGUCUCUGCAUACUCUUUGUGCUGGUUUUGUUGCAAGAACUACACUUACAGAGAUCUGGGAUUUUGGUAUUGCCAUCAAAUAGUCGGGAGGAAUACAAGCCAGGAAAUGAAACUUGAAUAACCUUAAACCUAAAAGACCUCUUAACAGCAGAAACAGUAGCACAUUUUGCUAUGUGAAAAUAAAAAACUAGGCAUAUAAAAAAACAAGUAAUGAGAUAAAACGUAUUGAAAUUAUUUUACAUCUUAGCAUUUAAAUAAGUGACACAAUUUUUUUUAAAGAAAAAUACAUACUUUCAUGAUCCAAAAAGUUAAAUUGAGAGCUACAGCAGGACAGUGUACAGCAAUAACACCGAUAAAAGUAACAAACCUGAUUUCCUUGCAGGAGUAACUGUAAAUUUAUGACACUGCUAAAUUAAAGGUGCACUCUUUUAUAGUUCAUAUUCCUUGCAUGCUGUAUUAAUCUGAAAUAUUUCUUAUAAACAGAUUAACUUAAUUUUUUCGAGACAGCUCUAUUAGCUAUGCCAAGCACCUUUCAAGAGAAAAUGAUUAGACUAAGUCACUUAAACCACAUCUGGUAAAAUUUAGUCAUGUCAGACCAAAACUUUUUCAGAAAAAUGUACUUGGAUGAGACUGAUAUGUGAAAAAUUCAAAUCUGAGUCACUAAUAAUAGUCCCUGCAGUUUUAUCCUAUUAAUGCUAUAUUGACCCAGUAAAGUCAGUGUUCAAACAUGCUGUUCAGUCAUAUCUACAGGACUAGACUGGCUCAUUUUCAGAGAGCUGUUCCAGUCAUCUGACUUUUUCUAUUUUGUUUUAACGUCACAUUAAUAUGUUGAUGUUUUAUUAAAAUACGGGAGCCCUAAAAUGUGCAAAGAUAGAGGCAAGGCUAAUAGACAGAAUAUACAGCACCACAGCUAGUAUCACAUGCAGAAAUUUCAGCAGUACUGAAAAGGCUUUAAUGAGUCUGCCCUGCUUGGCUACCCUGCGUGUUCCUCACCUUCAGUAAUUUCUCUAAUCAGUACUUCAUACGACAUGGCAACAAAGGACAGCUCUUCUAUUUUUUAGCCAGUUUCUUUUUUGUUUUGAUUUGGUUUUGGUUUUGUUCAAAAAACACAAUAGGAAAGGAAAAUUUCCAUUUUCCAGGAUGUUUUUUUUUCACUCUUUAAAAUCAGGGUAUGUCUGUAUAGUUCUUUCCUGUAUGGUUAAGUCUUGAUGCCAUCAACUAUUCUUAUAUUGCUCCAAAAACACUAACAACAGAAAGAAAAUAUAAACCACUACAUAAAGCAGCUUGCCAAGAAACUAGGGUAUUUUAGUUUCUCUUUGCACUGGCCACACUGAUGGAGCAACAAAUUUUGUUGGAAGACAUCUGAUGAGAAGGAAUAAAAUCAUACAUAGAAAGGCAAAGAGGAGGAAAAAAAUCUAGAUAAGAGUAAACGACUAAGAAUCCUUAUUUCAUACAUAUUUAAGCCCUGGCUAUGCAUAGCUGUGUUAUCCAGAGAGCAGCUUACCUGUGUGACAAAUGCAGACAACCAAAGCUGCCAGGACAUACACAGCACUGUGAGAAUGAGACCAAAAUAAUACCAGGCUAGAUUUUAUCUCAGAAAAAUGUACUUAUCCAGCAUGGACCUCAAUGGAAUAAGCAUUUUGCAAUUAAGCUAUUUCCAUGUAGUCAGUCAAUGCAUUUCUAAACUGGAGAGGCAGGAGCUCUGCCUUUAUUAGUCACACAUGAGGAAGAAAUGGUUUGACGUGAUAAUCAGUGGUUGCUCCAAUGGUAGUGAUUUGGAAAUAGCCAUGCUCAAGACAGAGUGUAUGAGGAAAAUGAGCGGCAAAAUACAGUUCCUGGAGUCGAUGAGACAGACUCUGAUUUAUUCAGAGAACCAGUGGGCAGGAUCCCAUGGGAGGCAGCUCUGAAGGGCAAAGGAGCUCAGGAAAUCUGGCAGCAGGUCUUCAAGGACAACCUCCUCCAAUCAUACAAAUAGCUCCUCCUGAAUACUCAGCAAAACAAGUAGAUCCAUCAGGAGACUGGCCUGGCUAAACAGGAAACUUAUGACAGCACUCCAAUGCAAAAGGACAGAAAUACAGGAAGUAAAAUCAGGGAUAGUCUUCAAAGAAGGAACCUGAAGAACAUGCUCAAUUCUUCCCAAGCAUGAUGGUGUACUGGGUGGCCAACUAGAUGGGUAACCACUGUUCAGAUAACAGGGCUUGUAGGGCAGUACCUGAAGGCCAGUAAUAAAUGGAGUACUGCUGGGAUUUAUCCUGGGCCAUGUUCUAUUUAGUAUCUCUAACAGUGACCUGAAGUAUAGUCACAUCAAGUUUGCAGGGGGAAUCAAACUUUGGACCAAUCAUUAUCCUCAUGAACAGAGGACCUAGACAGGCCGGAAAGACUCGGCAACACAAACCCGUCAACACUCCAAAAAGGCAAACGCAAACCUGCAUUUGGGAAGGAGCAGCCCCUUGCACAACACAGGCUGGGAAAUGACUGGCUGGGGAACAGCUGUGCUGUAAAGUGCCAGGAUCACAGCCGGCUAAACGCGAGCCACCCCUGGAAGCAAAGGGGGUCAGCAGCAUCCGGAGUUGGACUAGGAGAGCACCAUCAAUAAAACAAGGCGAGUCCGACUAAACGCUUUUCACCGUGAGGACACGGUGGCUACAACCCUCAGCAACCCGACUUGACCUCCGGCUGGCCCUGGUGCCGAAGCGGGAUGAACUGACGGGCUCCG